CCUACGGGUGGCAGCAGUGGGGAAUAUUGCACAAUGGGGGAAACCCUGAUGCAGCGACGCCGCGUGAGUGAAGAAGUAAUUCGUUAUGUAAAGCUCUAUCAGCAGGGAAGAAAAUGACGGUACCUGAGUAAGAAGCCCCGGCUAACUACGUGCCAGCAGCCGCGGUAAUACGUAGGGGGCAAGCGUUAUCCGGAUUUACUGGGUGGAAAGGGAGCGUAGACAGCAGUGCAAGUCUGGAGUGAAAGGCGGGGGCUCAACCCCCGGACUGCUCUGGAAACUGUACGGCGGGAGUGCAGGAGAGGUAAGUGGAAUUCCGAGUGUAGCGGUGAAAUGCGUAGAUAUUAGGAGGAACACCAGUGGCGAAGGCGGCUUACUGGACUGUAACUGACGUUGAGGCUCGAAAGCGUGGGGAGCAAACAGGAUUAGAUACCCCAGUAGUC
rnacentral:rRNA from 1 species